rnacentral:rRNA from 1 species
CUGGCGGCGUUGCUCACACAUGCAGAGGAAAACGAGCUCCAACCAGUCGCAAGACUGGGGAAGAGCUAGUGUUUAACCGGUGAGUAACACGUGAGCAACCUGCCUCGAAGACUGGGAUAACAGCGGGAAACCGCUGCUAAUACCGGAUAUCCCCAUCGGGCCGCAUGACCUGAUGAGGAAUGAAUUUCGCUUCGAGAGGGGCUCGCGGGCUAUCAGCUUGUUGGUGGGGUAACGGCCCACCAAGGCUACGACGGCUAGCUGGUCUGAGAGGGUGUACGGCCACACUAGAACUUAGAUACGGUCCAGACUCCUACGGGAGGCAGCAGUGGG